rnacentral:lncRNA from 10 species
CAAGGCUCCAGCCGAGGCGUGGGAACGCGGCCGCGGACCUGGUACCCCAGAGCAGCGAGCGGGUGGGGAGCAGCCGGGGCGAGAAUGAGCGCAAUCUUGCUAACCCCUGCGGAGGGAGCGCGCGGGCGCCAACGCGGGCGCGCGGGGGCGGGCCCUGGACCUGGACCUUGGGUUUCGGCCCUCCUCCGCGCCCCGCGGUCUCGCGGGCGAAGUUUCAGUCCUGAGUGUAAAGAAUAACCCCAAGCGCGUGGCUAAGUGCGAGCAGGCGCGUGUGACGUCGGGAGGCGCCGCGGCUCCUCGGCCGCCCCACUCGGUGGUCCCCUGUCUGGAUCCAAACUGCUGACUGGCUGACCCGAGUGGUCACAUUUGCCCUCUGGGGCUUUUGAAAACCUUAAAUCAAAAUUGCUUUUGAAUCUGACAACUCCUGAGGCUACUUUCGCGGCCUCGGGGCUGUUUCAUAUAAGGACGCGAGUUUUCCUGAUCAGGUCUGUCGGCCACGUUACGAUUUCCAAUUUGCGAUCCAUCAGUUACUUCCAUUGGGUCUUCAGCCCCCAGGGACUGUGGAUCCUAGACCCCGCGGAGAAGCCCGUGGACUGGAGCUGUGUCAGCUCUGAUGGAACAAAAACGGAGGCACAGAGAGGUCAAUUGAUUGGUCUAAUGACACAGAUCUAGCAAGUGGUGGAACCAGGACUGAAUCCAGAGAAUCUGGAAGACUACUCUGCCAAGACAUCUCAAAAAGUGUGUGUCCGGAAUUGGUGGGUUCUUGGUCUCACUGACUUCAAGAAUGAAGCCGCGGACCCUUGCGGAACUGUGAAGACUAGAGUGACCUUGGAGAUCUCAUCUGGAAGAUGGUAGAACUGCUAUCAGCCUGGCUUCCCAAAUGACCUCCUGGAUCACAGCUACCCAUGGCCUGAAAUGUUGACCUUGGAGUUGUUGCAUAGGAAAGAAAUAAACUUCUUUGUUCUUUGAGCCACAUAGUUAUCACAUAUCUUCUUAAAGCCACUUACCCACUUGUUCUAUCUCAUUCAGCUCUGAAAUUCUGUUUAAUUUCUAGAGUCAAAACAUUCAUUUGUUUCUUCUUUAUUUAACAAGAAUCAAUUACUUAUUUUAUGGAAGCCACUAUUCCAAAGAGAAGAAUCAUAAAAACAUUAGCCUUAUGGAUCUUUUGUCCUGGGAACAACACAGAGUGGAGACUACUGGAAUUUUUAAUAAAGUUCCUUUCCUGGGCAGUGCCAGUCCAGACCUAAUUUCCAGACUUAGUUAAGAUUAGACCAGUGUGCUGAAGAAUCAAAACAUCUAGAUAUUUUCCUUGCUCCAUUCUGCUUACAGCCCCACAAAAACUACUCACCCCACAGGGUUUCUUGCUUGAGAUUCCAGACAAUUCCUGUAUGUUUUAUUAGAAUACACUCUGUGUUUCAUCCAACUAGGAAGCCUUUGGCUCCGACUUAAAGCAUUAAGAACGGACCACUUUGGUAUGGAAAAUUAUCAGUUUUGGGGGAAAAGCCCCUGUUUCUCUGAUCUGUGCUCUGAAUUUGGCAGCUUUGUAGGCUUUCUCAAAGAGCCGCAACUGUGAACCAUGUCAUGUUGUCAUUAUCUCUGAUAUGCUCUGUGCAUUGGAAAUCCUGUGUGAGACUGGCAGGGGACAGAGGGAAUGAAGAAAUCACAUUCAUCAGAACAAGCUGCUCAACUUCCUUAAGUAAGGAGUUUGUCUAACAUCCAGUGGUUUCCUCUGACAGAGUGUGUACUUUCUUAACAUACGGACAAGAUUAGUACAUAGCCAGAAUGACUGUCUGCAGGUCCUAGGCUGCUUUUCAGAGGCAGCUUUAAUCUUCCUAAUUGAAUAUUUAGCUUUUCUAGGCCUGCACAAAAUGUAAAUCACAAUGUUUACAAUCUGUGAAAUAAUAGGAGAGUACAUAAUGUCAUUGCAAUAUUUUGUAAUCACUGUUAAAUGACUAAAAUCUAUUAAACUCAAUCAUUUUAAAUUAAACUUCUAAACUUCCCCAUUGCAGGUGAUGGCAACUCCAUUUUUACAAUCGCUUAGGCCAAAAAAACUUGACGUCAUCCUUGACUCUUCUUUCUCUCUCAUCUCACAAGCAAUUCAUCAGAAAAUCCUGUCAGCUCUGCUUUCAAAAUUUAACCAGAAUCUGAUUCCUUUGCAUCACCUCCACUGCUACCACUCUGGUGGAGCUGCCAACAUCUGUCACAUAGAUUAAGUCACACACACACACAUGCACACACACACAGAGUGUAUUCUCAGUCAAAGUGAUCUUUUUAAAAGGGAAAUAAGGCCAUUCUACUCCUCUGUUCAAAACUUUCAAAUGGCUCUCCACUUUUCUCUGAAUAUAAGCUCAAAUCCAUACAAGGACUUGUAGAGCCCCCGUUACCUUCUGACCUCAUUGCCUCCUACUCUGAUCUCUUAUGCAGAUCCUGCCCCAGUGGCUUCCUUGUUGCUCCUGGGUCACAUAAGGAAUGCUCUUGUUAUUUGUUCCAACUCUUUCUCAGUGCCCUCUCCUUGAUGUCUGCUUGGAUAUCUCCCUCACCUUCUUUAAUUGGACCUCUACCUUUCACCAUAUACAAAAAUUAACUCGAGAUGAAUUAAAGAUUUAAAUGUAAGACCUCAAACUCUAUAAAUUACAGAAGAAAAUCUGGGAAAUUCCCUUCUCAAUGUCAGCCUUGGCAAAGAAUUGAUGGGUAAGUCCUCAAAAGCAAUUGCAACAAAAAAAUUGACAUGUGGGACCUAAUUAAACUAAAGAGGUUUUGCGCAGCAAAAGAAACUAGCAACAAGUAAACAACCUAUAGAAUGGGAGAAAAUAUUUGCAAGCUAUGCAUCCAACAAAGGUCUAAUAUCCAGAAUCUAUAAGGAACUUAAAUCAACAAGCAAAAAACAACCCCAUUAAAAAGUGGACAAAGGACAUGAACAGACAGUUCUCAAAAGAAGACAUAUAAGCAGCCAACAAACAUGAAAAAAUGCUCACCAUUGCUAAUCAUCAGAGAAAAGCAAAUUAAAACCAUAAUGAGAUAUCAUCUCACAUCAGCCAGAAUGGCUAUUAUUAAAAAGCCAAAAAAUAACAGAUGCUGUCAAGACUACAGAAAACAGGGGACACUUACACACUUUGGGUGGGAAUGUAAAUUAGUUCAGCCACGGUGGAAAGCAGUUUGGAGAUUUCUCAAAUAACUUAGAACUACCAUUUGACCCAGCAAUCCCAUUACUAGGUAUGUACCCAAAGGAACAUAUAUCAUUCUACAAAAAAGACACAUGCACUUGCAUGUUUUUUGCAGCACUAUUCACAAAAGGAAAGACAUGGAAUCAACCUAGAUGUGUAUCAGUGGUGGACUGGAUAAAGAAAAUGUGGUACAUAUAUACUAUGGAAUACUAUGCAGGCAUACAAAAUGAAAUCAUGUCUUUUGCAGCAACAUGGAUGCAGCCGGAGGCCAUUAUCCUAAGGAAUAGAAAACCAGGGCCGGAUGUGGUGGCUCACACCUGUAAUCCCAGCACUUUGGGAGGCUGAGGCAGGCAGAUCACAAGGUCAGGAAUUUGAGACCAGCCUGGCCAACAUAGUGAAACCUCAUCUCUACUAAAUACAAAAAAAUUAGCCGGGCGUGGUGGUGUGUGGUGGUAAUCCCACCUACUUGUGAGGUUGAAGUGGGAGAAUCGCUUGAACCUGGGAGGUGGAGGUUGCGGUGAGCCGAGAUCGCGCCACUGCACCCAGCCAGGGCGACAGUGCAAGAGUCCGACUCAAAAAAAAAAAAAAAAGAAAAGAAAAUGAAACCAAAUACCACAUGUUCUCACUUAUAAACGUGAACUAAACAUCAAGUACAUGUGGAGAUAAAGAUGGGAGCAACGGACACUGGGGACUGCUGGGGUCGGGGAGUGUUAGAGGGGGUGCUGAGGAACUGCCUAUGGGUGCUGUGCUCACUGCCUGGGUGACCAGAUCAUUCAUACUUCAAACCUCAGCAUCCCACAGUGUUCCCAUGUGACAGACCUGCACACGUAUCUCCUGAAUCUAAAAUAAAAGUUGAAAUUGCUUUUAAAAAAAGACUUGGCUGAAAUAUCUCCUCUUUAAUAAGGUCCACUGGGACUACCCUAUUCCUACUGUCCCUUGCUGUCCCACUCACUUA